rnacentral:rRNA from 1 species
UACGUAGGGUGCGAGCGUUAAUCGGAAUUACUGGGCGUAAAGCGUGCGCAGGCGGUUCUGUAAGCCGGAUGUGAAAUCCCCGGGCUUAACCUGGGAAUGGCAUUCGGGACUGCAAGGCUGGAGUGCGGCAGAGGAGACUGGAAUUCCUGGUGUAGCAGUGAAAUGCGUAGAUAUCAGGAGGAACACCGAUGGCGAAGGCAGGUCUCUGGGCUGACACUGACGCUCAUGCACGAAAGCGUGGGGAGCAAACAGG